UGGAGCAUGUGGUUUAAUUCGAAGAUACGCGCAGAACCUUACCAACACUUGACAUGUUCGUCGCGACUCUAAGAGAUUAGAGUUUUCGGUUCGGCCGGACGAAACACAGGUGCUGCAUGGCUGUCGUCAGCUCGUGUCGUGAGAUGUUGGGUUAAGUCCCGCAACGAGCGCAACCCUUACUUUUAGUUGCUACCAUUUAGUUGGGCACUCUAAAAGAACUGCCAGUGAUAAGCUGGAGGAAGGUGGGGAUGACGUCAAGUCCUCAUGGCCCUUAUGUGUUGGGCUACACACGUGCUACAAUGGUACUCACAGUGAGAAGCGAAGAGGCGACUCUCAGCCAAUCCCUAAAAAGUACCUCAGUUCGGAUUGUACUCUGCAACUCGAGUACAUGAAGCUGGAAUUACUAGUAAUCGCGGAUCAGCGCGCCGCGGUGAAUACGUUCCCGGGUCUUGUACACACCGCCCGUCACACCAUGGAAGUUGGUUACACCUUAAGGCAAGGAUUAAAAUCUUUGACUACGGUACGAUCAGCGACUGGGGUGAAGUCGUAACAAGGUAACC
rnacentral:rRNA from 1 species